rnacentral:rRNA from 1 species
GACGAACGCUGGCGGCGUGCUUAACACAUGCAAGUCGAACGGAAAGGCCCUGCUUUUGUGGGGUGCUCGAGUGGCGAACGGGUGAGUAACACGUGAGUAACCUGCCCUUGAUUUUGGGAUAACUUCAGGAAACUGGGGCUAAUACCGGAUAGGAGCUCCUGCUGCAUGGUGAGGGUUGGAAAGUUUCGGCGGUUGGGGAUGGACUCGCGGCUUAUCAGCUUGUUGGUGGGGUAGUGGCUUACCAAGGCUUUGACGGGUAGCCGGCCUGAGAGGGUGACCGGCCACAUUGGGACUGAGAUACGGCCCAGACUCCUACGGGAGGCAGCAGUGGGGAAUAUUGCACAAUGGGCGGAAGCCUGAUGCAGCAACGCCGCGUGCGGGAUGACGGCCUUCGGGUUGUAAACCGCUUUCGCCUGUGACGAAGCGUGAGUGACGGUAAUGGGUAAAGAAGCACCGGCUAACUACGUG